GUCAUCGGAAUGGGUACAAUUUAAACCCUUUAACGAGUAUCAAGCAGAGGGCAAGUCUGGUGCCAGCAGCCGCGGUAAUUCCAGCUCUGCAAAUACAUAGAAUUAUUGCUGCGGUUAAAAAGCUCAUAGUUGGAUUCGUAUCGAUACCUUGGAACCCUUCGGGUGUCUCUGGGUGUUAUCGAUUUAUCGUAAUGUUCGGUUUUGAGUCCUUAACAGGAUUCUUAACAGGCAUUGCAAGUUUACUUUGAACAAAUCAGAGUGCUUCAAACAGGCGUUUUCGCUUGAAUGAUCGUGCAUGGAAUAAUAGAAAAUGAUUUCGGUUCAGUUUUAUUGGUUUUACGGACUGAGAUAAUGGUUAACAGAGACAAACGGGGGCAUUUGUAUGGUCCCGUGAGAGGUGAAAUUCUUGGACCGUGGCCAGACAAACUACAGCGAAAGCAUUUGCCAAGAAUGUUUUUAUUAAUCAAGAACGAAAGUCAGAGGUUCGAAGGCGAUCAGAUACCGCCCUAGUUCUGACCGUAAACGAUGCCAACUAGCGAUCCGCCGAUGGAAAUUAUAUUGCCUUGGUGGGGAGCUUCCCGGAAACGAAAGUCUUCCGGUUCCGGGGGGAA
rnacentral:rRNA from 1 species